AACUGGCCUCUAAUGUGAGAGGUACCACGAUGCCC
rnacentral:rRNA from 1 species